rnacentral:lncRNA from 1 species
AACAAUAAUAUGGCUCCUUCAAUAUUAACAAAUAAAUUUUCUCUUCAUGUUAAAGAAAAUGGAAAAGGAAUCCAAGAUGUUAAACAUUGUGUCCUAGCUCCCGGUACUAUUUUUAUAGCAAAAGAAUAUCACAUUAUACUGCCAAAAGCGUGUCUAUCCAAUAUGUUUAGUUCGACAGUCAGUGGCCUACUACCUUGAGGUAGCAACAGAAGAUGUAAACUCUUUGUUGAAGGUUGGCUCUUCAUCUAUGAUAUCAAAAGUUGUGAAUGCAGUUCGCCAUUCCAGCAACAUAAUCCAUGGCCCCAGUAACCAGGAUCGUCUCUUUGAUGGUCUAUUUGCAUAACCUGAUAGAGCAAUUAUAGGUGGUGAGUAUCACACCAAGGCAUGACAUAGCUAUUAAAUUAUCCAUGUUCAGAGACAACAAUAAUUGAAAAGAUAGACUCCUUGUUGGUGGCUAUAGCAGGGUACUGCCAAACUUAACUGAGUGCAAGAAGCCAUCCAAGUGCAGGUGCUUUGUGAGUGAGCCAGAGGCUGCCUAAGGUAAUGCAUCCACAAUUCC